AAGCAACCACCUAAGGAACACAAGAGGUACAAUUUGAGGAAGUUGACGUACGAGGAAAGGAAAGCUAAGUUGAUUGAACGAUUGCAGGCACUUAACUCUGCUGCUGAUGAUGAUGAGGAUGAUGAGUAGAAGGAUAUUAUCAGCAUUUGAGCUCAAAUAUACCUUGGCACACAUGCCCAAGUUUUAUUUGGAACCUACUAUUUCAUUUUUUUUUUUUUUUUU
rnacentral:misc_RNA from 1 species